GAGACCAGAAUGAAUCAUACCAGCAAAGUUCUCUGGCCGUUGGCUGUCUCGAUUCCUUUACUUAAGAGUACAAUACUCUGUGUUUUCUUGGACGAACUUGUCCCUUCCGGCUAAGUCGAUCGUACUUGUAUUAACGGGAAAAGUUUAAAUCGUUCUCCGUACAACGUAAUGCCGUAUAAUGGUUAUAUUAGAGAACCACGACCGACUGUCCCCGUCAAGGUAAGAAAAACUUACACCGGCGUUUUUAUCGAAAGCCUCAUUCCGGUUCUCGAAUUUUGAAUAAUUUGCUCGUGCAAUUGGUGUCGAAUAACAAUCUCCAACAUAUCUCCAAAGUAAUUGCCGAUCGGAGAGGAUAACAAAGGUACUCGUCUUUGAAGGGCGACAAACUCAAGAAAAGACGGAAGAAGGAUAAUAAACACGGUGGCCUGAAAAUCGCGUGUAGAAAGGCAGGAAGGGGAUGGCAAAUGGUAGACUGGCCAAUGGAAACAUUAUUCCAGAAUUGUCGUUGCAAACUACAUGUUUAUGGUGCCCCUGUCGCAUUUGUUUUAUCGAUGUCCUAGCCAUUAACAAAUUGAGCACUUCGAGUGCGUUUCUUUGGGCAAAAGAGAAUUAUUGAGCAAUAAAGAGAAUAGAAGAUGCGCGCUGAUGCCUUUGGAACGUGGAGGACGCCGCUGGCUUUCUUUCACGCACAUUUCUUAUUUUCAUAGUCUGAUAACCGACAUCUGGCAACAUCGACGAACUAUCAUUUGACAGCGAACCAAGUGUAUUCUUUGUUACAAUUCGACCAUAUAUAAGGCUGUUCCAGUUUUAUCCAAUGAAACUUUAUCAGUAUGUUCUCUGGAUAUAAAUAGGGGAAAAUGUUACAGAAACGUAAAUCGUUUAAAACUUUAUUAAAAAGUUCCCGUAAACUGUGGGAAUACUGACGAGCUUUUUUAACAUUUUUCAAUGUAACGUAAAAAAUAAACAUAUUUAUAAUUUCAUACAUUUCAUACAUUUCCAUAAAAACU